UAAAGGCAUGGUCCUGACCUUAUUAUCAGCUCUUACCCGACUUACACAUGCAAGUCUCCGCAAUCCCGUGAGUAUGCCCUCAAUCCCCCGCCCGGGGACGAGGAGCGGGCAUCAGGCACAAAUUUUAGCCCAAGACGCCUGGCCAAGCCACACCCCCAAGGGAAUUCAGCAGUGAUAAACAUUAAGCCAUAAGUGAAAACUUGACUCAGUCAGGGUUAAGAGGGCCGGUAAAACUCGUGCCAGCCACCGCGGUUAAACGAGAGGCCCUAGUUGAUAAAACCACGGCGUAAAGGGUGGUUAAGGAAAGCAAAACAAAUUAAAGCCAAAUGGCCCUUUGGCCGUCAUACGCUUCUAGGUGUCCGAAGCCCAAUUAUACGAAAGUAGCUUUAUUAAAGCCCACC
rnacentral:rRNA from 1 species